CUACGGGGGGCACCAGUGAGGAAUAUUGCACAAUGGGGGGAACCCUGAUGCAGCAACGCCGCGUGGAGGAUGACGCAUUUCGGUGUGUAAACUCCUUUUAUAUGUCAAGAAAAUGACGGUAGCAUAUGAAUAAGCACCGGCUAACUCCGUGCCAGCAGCCGCGGGUAAUACGGAGGGUGCAAGCGUUGACUCGGAAUCACUGGGCGUAAAGGACGCGUAGGCGGGUUGGAAAGUCAGGUGUGAAAUCCUACAGCUUAACUGUAGAACUGCACUUGAAACUUCUAAUCUAGAGUAUGGGAGGGGGAGAUGGAAUUAGUGGUGUAGGGGUAAAAUCCGUAGAUAUCACUAGGAAUACCUAAAGCGAAGGCGAUCUCCUGGAACAUUACUGACGCUAAGGCGUGAAAGCGUGGGGAGCAAACAGGAUUAGAUACCCGCGUAGUC
rnacentral:rRNA from 1 species